GCCAGGUUGCCCGAGCGGCCAAUGGGAGCGGACUGUAAAUCCGUCGCAGUAAUGCUACCUAGGUUCGAAUCCUAGACCUGGCACCA
rnacentral:tRNA from 1 species